AUUGAACGCUGGCGACAGGCCUAACACAUGCAAGUCGAACGAGUGGCGGACGGGUGAGUAAUGUCUGGGAAACUGCCUGAUGGAGGGGGAUACCUACUGGAAAAGGUAGCUAAUACCGCAUACCAUCAGAUGUGCCCAGAUGGGAUUAGCUAGUGGGUGGGGUAACGGCUCACCAGGGCGACGAUCCCUAGCUGGUCUGAGAGGCUGACCGGCCACACUGGAACGGAGACACGGUCCAGACUCCUACGGGAGGCAGCAGUGGGGAAUAUUGCACAAUGGGCGCAAGUCUGAUGCAGCCAUGCCGCGGGUAUGAAGAAGGCCUUCGGUUUGUAAAGUACUUUCAGCGGGGAGGCGUUACCCGCAGAGGAAGCACCGGCUAACUCCGUGCCAGCAGCCGCGGUAAUUC
rnacentral:rRNA from 1 species